AGCAGCCGCGGUAAUUCCAGCUCCAAUAGCGUAUAUUAAAGUUGUUGCAGUUAAAAAGCUCGUAGUUGAAUUUCGGGGUUAGUAGGUUGGUCAUGCCUCCGGUAUGUACUGAUCUCACUGAUUCCUCCUUCCUUAUGAACCGUAAUGCCAUUAAUUUGGUGUUGCGGGGAAUUUGGACUGUUACUUUGAAAAAAUUAGUGUGUUUAAAGCAGGCUAACGCUUGAAUACAUUAGCAUGGAAUAAUGAAAUAGGACGUUCGAUCUUAUUUUGUUGGUUUCUAGGAUUGACGUAAUGAUUAAUAGGGAUAGUUGGGGGCAUUAGUAUUCAAUUGUCAGAGGUGAAAUUCUUGGAUUUAUUGAAGACUAACUACUGCGAAAGCAUUUGCCAAGAUGUUUUCAUUAAUCAAGAACGAAAGUUAGGGGAUCGAAGACGAUCAGAUACCGUCGUAGUCUUAACCAUAAACUAUGCCGACUAGGGAUCGGAUGAUGUUAAUUUUUUAAUGACUCA
rnacentral:rRNA from 1 species